rnacentral:rRNA from 1 species
AUUGAACGCUGGCGGCAGGCCUAACACAUGCAAGUCGAGCGGAUGAAGGGAGCUUGCUCCUGGAUUCAGCGGCGGACGGGUGAGUAAUGCCUAGGAAUCUGCCUGGUAGUGGGGGAUAACGUCCGGAAACGGGCGCUAAUACCGCAUACGUCCUGAGGGAGAAAGUGGGGGAUCUUCGGACCUCACGCUAUCAGAUGAGCCUAGGUCGGAUUAGCAAGUUGGUGGGGUAAAGGCCUACCAAGGCGACGAUCCGUAACUGGUCUGAGAGGAUGAUCAGUCACACUGGAACUGAGAUACGGUCCAGACUCCUACGGGAGGCAGCAGUGGGGAAUAUUGGACAAAGGGCGAAAGCCUGAUCCAGCCAUGCCGCGUGUGUGAAGAAGGUCUUCGGAUUGUAAAGCACUUUAAGUUGGGAGGAAGGGCAGUAAGUUAAUACCUUGCUGUUUUGACGUUACCAACAGAAUAAGCACCGGCUAACUUCGUG